CGGAAGAGAGAUCGAGUGGGGGAAACUGGAGAAAGAAGAGAGAGAGUAGUAAGAAAGUGGAAUAGAAACAGAUCUAGACCCGGCAAGUCUCCGGCCACCGACCUAACACUCUGACAUCAUACACCUUUGGCUUCUUUAUACGACCUUUAGUCACUCAGGUGGUUCGAGAGAGAGAAUCUGGACAGAGGAAGUGAGAGAGGUGGUGGGCACGAUGGCGGAGCCUGGUCGGUGUGGCAAGGUGGAUUGACUUUCCGACGAAGUCGGCUAGGGUUCCGGCGAGAUUCCGGUAACCCAAAUCAGGUUUGCAUGUCUCAGCUCCACAGGUAGAAGAUUGAAAACAUACAACCAAAGCGAGUAGCCGAUUUUCCCAGUGCUAAAAGGUUGCUACAAAGGUGAAAAUUUGGACCUGUUCAAUGUUCAUCCACUAUUUUACUUUGCCUUAACAGGAUGUUUAUCCUUGAUUUUACUUUGCCUCUAACAGAUCAAACGACAAACAACCCUUUUUGUGCUACAUAACUUAUCGCUAUGUUAAAUAUCAUCACAGAAAGCAUGUUAUUG
rnacentral:lncRNA from 1 species